UCCUGCAGCAGCAUCUGGAGGAGAAGCUGGGAGGGUCCCAACCAACCACAGGGUGUUCUCUGGAGGCCCGGCUGAGGCGCGUGGGCGGAAACGGCCCCUGGUCUCCGCUUGCUUUCGGCAUGAAACACUCACGGAGCACACCACAAGGUUUUUCAGAGUGACACGAUAUAUAUUUAAGGGUGAGUCAAACCUCAAAUUACAUUGCCCAAGAACGGAGCCACUGCAAGGAAAGUGGCUAAAUUAUUGGCGUGAGGCACAGGAUGCCGGAGCCUAUGGCACGGAGAAACCACUAGUAAAAGUGGAAGGAAACGACUUUUGAAGAUAUUGCUACCUGUGCUAAGAAACCUCGAGUGCUUACCAACCGUUUCUGAUCAAACCUGAAAAGUUCAGAGAGCGAGAGGAUUUAAAAGAGGAUGGGUUAAAAAGCCUCACUCCCUUCCCUAGCCCUGUCCGCCUCUCCUUGGGCCGAAGGGGAACUUGCAGAACAUUGAAGAGAUGCCCAGACCGUGCAAAGCUAUAAGCGCCUUCAACUUACUAAGGAAUUAUGUUGGAACUAAGAGAAACUUAAGAGGUACUUGUUACAUGGAGUACAGUGAAAAAAAACCAACCACUGUAAUGAGAUUUCUCAAUUUGGGGCCCUUCCUGAGAACGCAGCGGCCCUCAGAGAUGAAGAGAGCCCCAUCAUAUACAUGAGAACUGAAGAAACGCCGUGCCUUCUGACAACCCCAUCUAGCAUAUGCCAACUCGAGGGUGCUGUGCUUCUAAUUUCAAACUCAUCAUCUGUUGGGGUACCACCACCAGCUGGCUUUGCCCUGGUUUUCUCACCAGGUGGCUCAGGGACCGUGCUCAGUGGGACAGUGAUGAGAAUGAAGAAAUGGAGAUUUUUGAGGGACUGAGUAAUCUGCCUGAAGUCGUAUAACGUGAAAAAACAGGAUUCAGACUAAAGCCUGUUUGACCUGAGAGUUUGUGUUCCUAAUCACGGUGCUAUGCUGUUUCCCUGUUUUUUUUUGUUGUUGUUGAAAGAGUAAAUAAUACGUGCUCCUCCACCCUGGCGAGAGUGUAAUAUUAGCAGAUCUCCUCUGCUUGAAGACGUCCUCUGUGACCCGGAGGAAGGGUCUUGGGUUGCUGUGCCAGCAACACAGACAUUACAACUCAAUACCACUGACCGAGAUUUAGAAAUACACACCCACACACGGAAGUCCACACUUUACCAUCGCACAUUCAGCGAAGUGACAUAAAGUAAACCCACAACAAUGGUUGUUCUUGGGGGUGGGGCAUAAGAGUGGGAAAUGAGGCUAAAAGGCAACAAAUAAAUACAUAAGACAAGAGAGGGGCUCCUUCCAGGGCCCAACCAUGACAAUGGCGUGGACUGAGAAACAUCAGCCUUUGGAUUUGAGCAUCUCCCCUCCCUGCAAAACAGAGUAAGAGGCAGGACAAGGGAAAAUUAGAUGAGGUUGAGAAAAGAUUUGGAGUGGCAAGGAAGACAUGCGUGAGUGCCGCCUUCCUCACAUUCAGAAAUCAUUCAUUUAGUCUUAAAAUGGAAGGACUUUAAUGCAAACAUCAGCUAUACCAAAGCAUGAGCUUGACUCCGUCGGGCAUUGAAUUUUGACGGAGAAUAAAAAGUCCGAGGUUCUCUCUGCAAAGGCAGAUGCUUAACAGACUGAGCCACCCAGGCAGCCCUAUGCUGGGUUUUGAAGGGGGGUAGACUUCUGAUAGCAAAGGCAUCAAAAUACCACAAUAGAGGGGAAUGUCCCAAACAGACAGACAGACAGACAGUCAGGUGGGCCCCAGGCAUGCUGGGACAUCUGCCAGGAACCGUUCAGAGCAGAAGACCAUAGUGUUCAGAUCUCAGCUUCCAGAUGAGUGUAAACUAGGAAACUGACCAACUAAAGACAUUCUUUACAGCCUGGUUGGGUGAGCAGGCAUUGGAGUGUGUAUCUGAGAUUAAAAGUAUGAGCAUGUGGGGUGCCUAGGUGGCUCAGAUGAUUAAGCGUUUGCCUUCGGCUCAGGUCAUGAUCUCUGGGUCCUGGGAUCGAGCCCCAUGUCGGGUUUCCAGCUCAGCAGGGAGCCUGCU